CCCCGCCGGGCGGGUUUGUUAAGUUCAGAAUGGGAAAUACCCCGGGCUCCAACCUGGGAACUGCAUUUUGAUACUGGCCAAGCUUGAGUUUUGUAGAGGGGGGGUAGGAAAUCCCAGGUGUAGCGGGUGAAAUGCGUAGAGAUCUGGAGGAAUAACCGGUGGCGAAAGGCGGCCCCCCGGACGAAGACUGACGCUCAGGUGCGAAAGCGUGGGGAGCAAACAGGAUUAGAUACCCUUGUAGUCCACGCCGUAAACGAUGUCGACUUGGAGGUUGUGCCCUUGAGGCGUGGCUUCCGGAGCUAACGCGUUAAGUCGACCGCCUGGGGAGUACGGCCGCAAGGUUAAAACUCAAAUGAAUUGACGGGGACCCGCACAAGCGGUGGAGCAUGUGGUUUAAUUCGAUGCAACGCGAAGAACCUUACCUGGUCUUGACAUCCACAGAACUUUCCAGAGAUGGAUUGGUGCCUUCGGGAACUGUGAGACAGGUGCUGCAUGGCUGUCGUCAGCUCGUGUUGUGAAAUGUUGGGUUAAGUCCCGCAACGAGCGCAACCCUUAUCCUUUGUUGCCAGCGGUCCGGCCGGGAACUCAAAGGAGACUGCCAGUGAUAAACUGGAGGAAGGUGGGGAUGACGUCAAGUCAUCAUGGCCCUUACGACCAGGGCUACACACGUGCUACAAUGGCGCAUACAAAGAGAAGCGACCUCGCGAGAGCAAGCGGACCUCAUAAAGUGCGUCGUAGUCCGGAUUGGAGUCUGCAACUCGACUCCAUGAGGUCGGAAUCGCUAGUAAUCGUGGAUCAGAAUGCCACGGUGAAUACGUUCCCGGGCCUUGUACACACCGCCCGUCA
rnacentral:rRNA from 1 species